UGUUUGUUGUGUGUGUGCUAUUUGUUGUGUUGCGCAGAAACAAUUUACUUGCACUGUACAAGGGAGAUCACUCCAACAUCCAACCGGCUGAAGCAGGCGGCAACGUCAGUUACUGUGUAUGUGCUUUGAUUCUCGAUGUUAUAAUGUGAUUAUUUCAAAGUAAUUAGCAUGUGAUCUACUUGUGUUUCGGAGAGGUGUUCACCCGACUUUUCUUUAUCCAUGUUCGCAGUUCUGUGUCGGUAAAGGUGAAUACAGUUCUACUUCACUGAAGCUGUCUCACAACACCUGUCACCUGUAAACAGUAUCAAAUAUGGUGGAUUUCAAGUUGGUUACAUUGUAUGGGAAUUUAAUUCCUGUUGUACACCUCGUGGUCCUGGUCUGUCGGUAAGUAUACUAACCACACAUCUUCAAAUAGCUAUGAUAGUCUAAACUAUUCUCAGUGAAUGCAAAUGCACUAACAUAAUGUUACAAAAUAAACUGACUAGCCAAAUGUCGACUAAUUCAAAGUACUAACAAAAUAAUAA